rnacentral:rRNA from 1 species
GGGACUGCAAAUGAGCGGGAAGUGAAUUUGGAAGAAGGCGAGAAAAGCUGUGUGAAUAGAAGAUAGAGCCCGUACCGCAAACCGACACAGGUAGAUAAGAAGAAGAUUCUAAGGCCAACGGGAGAAGGGUUGUUAAGGAACUCGGCAAGUUGACCCCGUAACUUAGGGAGAAGGGGUGCUCUUUAAGGAGAGCCGCAGAGAAUAGGCCCAAGCGACUGUUUAGCAAAAACACAGCUCUAUGCUAAAUCGAAAGAUGACGUAUAUGGGGUGACACCUGCCCGGUGCCGGAAGGUUAAGAGGAGGAGUGAGAGCUCUGAAUUGAAGCCCCGGUAAACGGCGGCCGUAACAAUAACGGUCCUAAGGUAGCGAAAUUCCUUGUCAGGUAAGUUCUGACCCGCACGAAUGGUGUAACGAUUUGGGCACUGUCUCAACAACCUGCCCGGCGAAAUUGUAGUACCGGUGAAGAUGCCGGUUACCCGCGACUAGACGGAAAGACCCCAUGGAGCUUUACUGCAGCUUAAUAUUGAAUUUCGGUAUUUCAUGUACAGGAUAGGUGGGAGACAGGGAACCAUAGGCGUCAGCUUAUGGGGAGUCGACCUUGGGAUACCACUCUUGAGGUGCUGGAAUUCUAACCUGUGGCUCUGAAUCGAGUCAGGGGACAUUGUUAGGCGGGCAGUUUGACUGGGGCGGUCGCCUCCAAAAAGGUAACGGAGGCGCUCAAAGGUUCGCUCAGCAUGGAUGGAAACCAUGCUUUUGAGUGUAAACGCAAGCGAGCCUAACUGCGAGACUGACGGGUCGAGCAGUAACGAAAGUUGGAGUUAGUGAUCCGGCGGUAUGUGAGUGGAAAUGCCGUCGCUCAACGGAUAAAAGCUACCCUGGGGAUAACAGGCUGAUCUCCCCCAAGAGUCCACAUCGACGGGGAGGUUUGGCACCUCGAUGUCGGCUCAUCGCAUCCUGGGGCUGAAUUCGGUCCCAAGGGUUUGGCUGUUCGCCAAUUAAAGCGGUACGCGAGCUGGGUUCAGAACGUCGUGAGACAGUUCGGUCCCUAUCUGUCGUGGGCGUAGGAUAUUUGAAAGGAGCUGUCCCUAGUACGAGAGGACCGGGAUGGACGCACCGCUGGUGCACCAGUUGUCAUGCCAAUGGCACAGCUGGGCAGCUAUGUGCGGAACGGAUAAACGCUGAAGGCAUCUAAGCGUGAACCGACCUUAAGAUAAGAUAUCCCUUCGUAAGAGUAAGACCUCUCAUAGACUAUGAGUUUGAUAGGCCUAAGGUGUAAGCACAGUGAUGUGUUCAGCCUGCAGGUACAAAUCGGUCGAGGGCUUUUCAA